rnacentral:rRNA from 1 species
GAUGAACGCUGGCGGCGUGCCUAAUACAUGCAAGUCGAGCGGACAGACGAGGAGCUUGCUCCUCUGACGUUAGCGGCGGACGGGUGAGUAACACGUGGAUAACCUACCUAUAAGACUGGGAUAACUUCGGGAAACCGGAGCUAAUACCGGAUAAUAUAUUGAACCGCAUGGUUCAAUAGUGAAAGACGGUUUUGCUGUCACUUAUAGAUGGAUCCGCGCCGCAUUAGCUAGUUGGUAAGGUAACGGCUUACAAAGGCAACGAUGCGUAGCCGACCUGAGAGGGUGAUCGGCCACACUGGAACUGAGACACGGUCCAGACUCCUACGGGAGGCAGCAGUAGGGAAUCUUCCGCAAUGGGCGAAAGCCUGACGGAGCAACGCCGCGUGAGUGAUGAAGGUCUUCGGAUCGUAAAACUCUGUUAUUAGGGAAGAACAAAUGUGUAAGUAACUAUGCACGUCUUGACGGUACCUAAUCAGAAAGCCACGGCUAACUACGUG